rnacentral:rRNA from 1 species
GACGAACCGUGCGAACGUUGUUCGGAAUCACUGGGCUUAAAGGGCGCGUAGGCGGACAAUCAAGUCAGGGGUGAAAUCCCACGGCUCAACCGUGGAAGUGCCUUUGAUACUGACUGUCUCGAGGGAGGUAGGGGCGUGCGGAACUUCCGGUGGAGCGGUGAAAUGCGUAGAUAUCGGAAGGAACGCCCGGUGGCGAAAGCGGCGCGCUGGACCUCUUCUGACGCUGAGGCGCGAAAGC